rnacentral:misc_RNA from 1 species
AACCAUAGAAACCUGCGGAGUACCUGCGGAAGGAUCAUUACAUUCAGUAGCCUAGCUACUUGUUUACACCCUUGUUUUUUUUGCGCACUUCAUUGUAUCCCUCGGCGGGCUUGCUCGCCGGUUGGACAACAUUUAUAACCUUUUUUAAUCUUCAAUCAGCGUCUGAAUUAUAUUUAAUAAUUACAACUUUCAACAACGGAUCU